rnacentral:misc_RNA from 1 species
UAUAUUAUUACCAGACUGCUGCUUGCCCUCGGGCUCGCCAGCGAAUGAUGGGACUCUUCGCUUAAUUGCGUCUCCCUAAAUUAUUCACUCAACGUGUGAGCCAGUUCCGUUUGCAACGCGACGUGCAUAACGUUCGUUGUCGGUACGCGGAAGUAGGGCGGAUUGUGUGUCCUAGAUUAAUUUCUUUGACUCUACGCCGUUUUAUUUGCACGAAAGUGUACCGAAACCCCGUACCACACGACAGCUUGCCGUCACAGCUUACGGAACGAUCUGAUGGUUCCUCGUAAAAUGCGCUGGUAAAUAUUUACAAUAUCGAACGCGCUCUCUCAAUA